rnacentral:rRNA from 1 species
AGGGUUCGAUCCUGGCUCAGGACGAACGCUGGCGGUGCGCCUUAUGCAUGCAAGUCGAGCGAAGCUUUUCAGUAGUUUACUACAGAAAAUGACUGAGCGGCGAACGGGUGAGUAACGCGUGAGCAACCUACCUUAGUUACUGGGAUAGCCCGAGGAAACUCGGAUUAAUACCGGAUAUUCUUAUUUAAUCACAUGAUUUUUUAAGGAAAGGUCAGCCGAACUAAGAUGGGCUCGCGUUCUAUCAGCUAGUUGGUAGGGUAAUGGCCUACCAAGGCUACGACGGAUAGCUGGUCUGAGAGGACGAUCAGCCACACUGGGACUGAGACACGGCCCAGACUCCUACGGGAGGCUGCAGCAGGGAAUAUUGUGCAAUGAACGAGAGUUUGACACAGCGACACCGCGUGUGGGAUGACGGAUCUAGGUUUGUAAACCACUUUCAGGAGGGAAGAAAAUGACGGUACCUCCACAAGAAGCCCCGGCCAACUACGUGCCAGCAGCCGCGGUAAUUC